ACAUGCAAUUUCAUUCCGUCUCUGUUACAGCCUCUAUAUAUAAUUUUCUAACUUUCUACUUUCACCAAAUCAUCAAACUCACACACCCUUUGAUUGGCUUGGCCUCUUCAUUCAUUCUGCUAAAAGCUCUUUGUAACCAUGGGACCUGGCGGACCAGGAGGGCCUGGUGGAGGACCCGGGGGGCCUGGUGGUGGACCCGGCUGGGGGCCUGGCCCGGGAGGACCUGGUUGGGGUCCACCUGGACCUGGAGGCUUCUUUGGUGGAUGUGCUAACGGUUUAUGCAGCCUCAUAUCUUCAUG
rnacentral:lncRNA from 1 species